AUUGAACGCUGGCGGAAUGCUUUACACAUGCAAGUCGAACGGCAGCACGGACUUCGGUCUGGUGGCGAGUGGCGAACGGGUGAGUAAUACAUCGGAACGUGCCCAAUCGUGGGGGAUAACGUAGCGAAAGCUACGCUAAUACCGCAUACGAUCUAAGGAUGAAAGCGGGGGAUCGCAAGACCUCGCGCGAUUGGAGCGGCCGAUGGCAGAUUAGGUAGUUGGUAGGGUAAAGGCCUACCAAGCCGACGAUCUGUAGCUGGUCUGAGAGGAUGAUCAGCCACACUGGGACUGAUAAACGGCCCAGACUCCUACGGGAGGCAGCAGUGGGGAAUUUUGGACAAUGGACGCAAGUCUGAUCCAGCCAUUCCGCGUGCAGGAUGAAGGCCCUCGGUUUGUAAACUGCUUUUGUACAGAACGAAAAGGCUCUGGUUAAUACCUAGGGCUCAUGACGGUACUGUAAGAAUAAGCACCGGCUAACUACGUGCCAGCCGCCGCGGUAA
rnacentral:rRNA from 1 species